GUCGCUGUGGUCUAGUGGUUAGGACAUUGCGUUGUGGCUGCAGCAGCCGACGUUCGUUUCCUGGCAGCGACA
rnacentral:tRNA from 1 species